UCUAUCCCUCUCAAAACCCACUAAUCCACCGCCCCUUCUUCUCUUCCUCCUCUUCUUUUCUUCUCCCUUUCUUCAUCUUCCCGAUCCUUCCUUUCUCUCUUCUCUGUGACCCAAAACAAGUAGAGUGAGAGAACCUGAGAGAGAGACCAAAUUAGGGAGAGAUAUCGAGAGAGAAAGCUUGAGGAAGAGAGAUCGAAUCAGAGAGACCCGUGGGUCCAAUUUCUGGUGGCCUAAGAAGAGAUGCAGUGAGAGGAAGGUCCGAUCUUCGAUGGGUGAUGCUGGGUCGACGCCGUAGAAGUUGAGGGCUCAAUUCUGGUGGCUUGAGGUGUGAACUUCCAGUGAAACAAGAGCAAAUUUCUGGUGGAAUUUCAGACAUUUCAAACUGUGAAAUUUCGUGAAGGAAAAUAGCAACAAGUUUCUCGGUCAUCUGGCUGUGGGGUUGGAAAAUCGUUUCCGGCAGACCCAUCUUCGGACGCGGGAAGGGGGAAGGAGAGAGGAGAGAGCUGUUUUUUUUUUUUUUUUUUUUUUUUUUUU